AUACGUAGGUGACAAGCGUUAUCCGGAUUUACUGGGUGUAAAGGGCGUGUAGGCGGUUUAGCAAGUCAGAAGUGAAAUUCCCGGGCUUAACUUGGGCGCUGCUUCUGAAACUGCUUUACUUGAGUGCUGGAGAGGAUAGUGGAAUUCCUAGUGUAGCGGUAAAAUGCGCAGAUAUUAGGAGGAACACCGGUGGCGAAGGCGGCUAUCUGGACAGUAACUGACGCUGAGGCGCGAAAGCACGGGGAGCAAACAGGAUUAGAUACCCUGGUAGUCCGUGCCGUAAACGAUGAAUACUAGGUGUAGGGGGUAUCGACUCCCUCUGUGCCGCAGUUAACACAUUAAGUAUUCCACCUGGGGAGUACGGCCGCAAGGUUGAAACUUAAAUGAAUUGACGGGG
rnacentral:rRNA from 1 species